rnacentral:lncRNA from 8 species
GCUCUCUCUUCUCUCUUUGCUUUAGCUGAAGCUGUGUUUGAGUGUGGAGCAGGUGGCAGGCAGGUCUCUGGGCCCAUGUGUUUGAUAGGGCCUAAUCAGCCCUAUUUUAUCUCCUAUGGGCUGAGGGCCCAGGUGAGACCUGAGGGUAAAUACAGGGGACAUCUGCCUGUUGGCUAGCUAGCUACCACUCCUGUCCUGCUGCGACCCCUGGCUCUCCUCUCUCUGUGCUGCUGCAGAUCAACUCUCUGGGACAGAGUUUAUUUACUGUAACUAGCCUAGUUCUAUGCUGUAUGUGCUAUAGCAUACUCUUCUAUUGUUACCAUGCCAUAGAGUUAGGCCCAUACAUUACAGAACAUUCCCAUAGAAACAUAUGUGUCGAACAGAUAUAAUUGUAUGUCAUGUAGAAUAGAGAAUCAUGUCAGCUCUGUUCAUUCCAUUUCUAUCUUCUCUGCAGGUCUCUUAAGUGGAGCCCCGAGCGGUUCAGCUGGGCUCUCUGUUUGUUCGAGGGCUGACCCACCUGGCGGCUGCCAAGAGGCUUGCGGCUGCCCCUUCCCCAUGUAGCAGCUGGUGCCCUGAAACACCUUUGACGACCUGCUCUUCCACUCAGAGUACCUGCUGGCUCACUCAGGGAGGCCCCAGGAAGAGCUGCUGGAGGGCAAUGGAUGCACGGGGAAGGAAAGAGGCGCCCCAUGAGGACAGCAUGGUCUACCUCCUCAAUACUACAGACCCCAGACCAGAUCCCCGUCAGGACAGCAUGGUCCCCCUCCUCAACACUACAGACCCAAGACCAGAUCCCCGUCAGGACAUGGUCCCCCUCCUCAACACUACAGACCCCAGACCAGAUCCCCGUCAGGACAGCAUGGUCCCCCUCCUCAACACUACAGACCCCAGACCAGAUCCCCGUCAGGACAGCAUGAUCCCCCUCCUAGACACUACAGACCCCAGAGCAGAGAUCCCAGAGGACAGGUACAUGGUAGGCUACAGACAGACCACUAGCUGCUGGUUGCUGUCUGGACCACUAGCUGCUGGUUGCUGUCUGGACCACUACCUGCUGGAUGCUGUCUCGACCAGGGCAGAGUGCCAUUGAGGUUUAUUCCAACCAGCUAGCAAAAAAGCCGUAGCAACAUAUAAU